UGGGGAAUCUUGGACAAUGGGCGCAAGCCUGAUCCAGCCAUGCCGCGUGAGUGAUGAAGGCCUUAGGGUUGUAAAACUCUUUCGUCGGGGACGCGGUACCCGAAGAAGAAGCCCCGGCUAACUUCGUGCCAGCAGCCGCGGUAAUACGAAGGGGGCUAGCGUUGUUCGGAUUUACUGGGCGUAAAGCGCGUGUAGGCGGGCUGGUAAGUUGGGGGUGAAAUCCCGAGGCUCAACCUCGGAACUGCCUCCAAAACUGUCAGCCUGGACUCAAGUAGAGGCAAGUGGAAUUGCGAGUGUAGAGGUGAAAUUCGUAGAUAUUCGCAGGAACACCAGUGGCGAAGGCGACUUGCUGGACUUGUAGUGACGCUGAGACGCGAAAGCGUGGGGAGCAAACAGGAUUAGAUACCCCGGUAGU
rnacentral:rRNA from 1 species